GACGAACGCUGGCGGCGUGCUUAGCACAUGCAAGUCGAACGAAGAGCGAUGGAAGCUUGCUUCUAUCAAUCUUAGUGGCGAACGGGUGAGUAACGCGUAAUCAACCUGCCCUUCAGAGGGGGACAACAGUUGGAAACGACUGCUAAUACCGCAUACGAUCUAAACUCGGCAUCGAGGAUAGAUGAAAGGUGGCCUCUACAUGUAAGCUAUCACUGAAGGAGGGGAUUGCGUCUGAUUAGCUAGUUGGAGGGGUAACGGCCCACCAAGGCGAUGAUCAGUAGCCGGUCUGAGAGGAUGAACGGCCACAUUGGGACUGAGACACGGCCCAGACUCCUACGGGAGGCAGCAGUGGGGAAUCUUCCGCAAUGGACGAAAGUCUGACGGAGCAACGCCGCGUGAGUGAUGACGGCCUUCGGGUUGUAAAGCUCUGUUAAUCGGGACGAAAGGCCUUCUUGCGAAUAGUGAGAAGG
rnacentral:rRNA from 1 species